rnacentral:rRNA from 1 species
UACGAAGGGGGCUAGCGUUGCUCGGAAUCACUGGGCGUAAAGGGUGCGUAGGCGGGUCUUUAAGUCAGGGGUGAAAUCCUGGAGCUCAACUCCAGAACUGCCUUUGAUACUGAAGAUCUUGAGUUCGGGAGAGGUGAGUGGAACUGCGAGUGUAGAGGUGAAAUUCGUAGAUAUUCGCAAGAACACCAGUGGCGAAGGCGGCUCACUGGCCCGAUACUGACGCUGAGGCACGAAGGCCGGGGGAGCAAACGGG